AUGUUUGGUUCUGGUCUUUCUCCACAAUUAGAAGGGGCAGUGGAAGCCUUCGUAAUUGUUCUUGCAGCACUUAUCCUUUUCCUUAUAGUGAAAGCAGGACAGGGAGUGCUGGAGGAGGUUCAAGACAGCAUGUCAGAAACAGAGCAGGGUAAGAGAUUAGGAGCUCAAAGAAAAAAGGGUAUACCUAAGAAAAAAGGCCCUUCCAUGGACCCUGGAUCCGAGGAAGUGAGAGAAUGGGUAAAGGAUGCCCUGG
rnacentral:lncRNA from 1 species